rnacentral:rRNA from 1 species
CUUGAACGCUGGCGGCAGGCCUAACACAUGCAAGUCGAACGAGUUGCCGACGGGUGAGUAAUGUCUGGGAAACUGCCCGAUGGAGGGGGAUCACUACUGGAAACGGUAGCUAAUACCGCAUACCAUCGGAUGUGCCCCGAUGGGAUUAGCUAGUAGGUGGGGUAACGGCUCACCUAGGCGACGAUCCCUAGCUGGGCUGAGAGGAUGACCAGGAACUCGGGGACGUAGACACGGCACAGAGUCCUACGGGAGGCAGGAGUGGGGAAUAGUGCACAAUGGGCGCAAGCCUGAUGCAGCCAUGCCGCGUGUAUGAAGAAGGCCUUCGGGUUGUAAAGUACUUUCAGCGAGGAGGCGUUACUCGCAGAAGAAGCACCGGCUAAAUCCGUGCCAGCAGCCGCGGUAAUAC